rnacentral:rRNA from 1 species
UGGGGAAUAUUGCACAAUGGGCGAAAGCCUGAUGCAGCAACGCCGCGUGAGUGAUGAAGGUCUUCGGAUUGUAAAGCUCUGUCUUUUGGGACGAUAAUGACGGUACCAAAGGAGGAAGCCACGGCUAACUACGUGCCAGCAGCCGCGGUAAUACGUAGGUGGCGAGCGUUGUCCGGAUUUACUGGGCGUAAAGGGUGCGUAGGCGGAUGUUUAAGUGAGAUGUGAAAUACCCGGGCUUAACUUGGGUGCUGCAUUUCAAACUGGAUAUCUAGAGUGCAGGAGAGGAGAAUGGAAUUCCUAGUGUAGCGGUGAAAUGCGUAGAGAUUAGGAAGAACACCAGUGGCGAAGGCGAUUCUCUGGACUGUAACUGACGCUGAGGCACGAAAGCGUGGGUAGCAAACAGGAUUAGAUACCCUGGUAGUCCACGCCGUAAACGAUGAGUACUAGGUGUAGGAGGUAUCGACCCCUUCUGUGCCGCAGUAAACGCAUUAAGUACUCCGCCUGGGAAGUACGAUCGCAAGAUUAAAAC